rnacentral:rRNA from 1 species
UACAGAGGGUGCGAGCGUUAAUCGGAAUUACUGGGCGUAAAGCGUGCGUAGACGGCUAUCUAAGUCGGGUGUGAAAGCCCCGGGCUCAACCUGGGAAUUGCAUUCGAGACUGAAUAGCUAGGGUACGGUAGAGGGAAGCGGAAUUUCCGGUGUAGCGGUGAAAUGCGUAGAUAUCUGGAGGAACACCGGUGGCGAAGGCGGCGUUCUGGACUGCAACUGACACUGAUAAACGAAAGCCAGGGUAGCAAACGGG